UGCUACACACGCAGGGCCCUGUCGAUGGCAGCCUUUACGCGAAGGUGAGGAAGAAAAGCUCCUCGGAUCCUGGCAUCCCAGGUGGCCCCCAGGCAAUCCCGGCCACCAACAGCCCAGACCACAGU
rnacentral:sRNA from 1 species